rnacentral:rRNA from 1 species
ACGAUGAAGAGUUUGAUCCUGGCUCAGGAUGAACGCUAGCGGCAGGCUUAACACAUGCAAGUCGAGGGGUAACAGGGAAAAGCUUGCUUUUCCGCUGACGACCGGCGCACGGGUGCGUAACGCGUAUAGAACCUACCUUUUACUGAGGGAUAGCCUUUAGAAAUGAAGAUUAAUACCUCAUAGUAUUGAAAAUCGGCAUCGAUUUUUAAUUAAAGAUUUAUUGGUAAAAGAUGGCUAUGCGUCCUAUUAGCUAGAUGGAGAGGUUACGGCUCCCCAUGGCGACGAUAGGUAGGGGUCCUGAGAGGGAGAUCCCCCACACUGGUACUGAGACACGGACCAGACUCCUACGGGAGGCAGCAGUGAGGAAUAUUGGGCAAUGGAGGCAACUCUGACCCAGCCAUGCCGCGUGCAGGAAGAAGGUUCUAU